UCUUUUUCUUCUCACACCGUUAAGAGAGAGCGGGGGGAAGGGAAUAGGGAGAAUCGGGAAGAAAGAGAGAUAGAAAGCUGCUGGGGGUUGCGGCGGCGCCAUGGCAGCCCCACGGUGGUGUCACGCGUAAGGGAUCUCCGGCAGAGCUCCGAUGUACCGUCGGUGGAGAAAUACCCCGAUAAUCGAAUGCUUGGUACCCGUGAACUUGUGAAUGGAAAGGUAUAUUGGUGCUUGUUAUGGAACAUACUGAACUCCUUAAGUACUUCUUGUGUUUGACUAUUUGUUGACAAUAUUUAUAUGCAUUUUGUUGGGUCUACAACAUGGACCGUAUGUGUGGUUGACUUACAAGCAAGUGUAUGACAAGGUGAUACAGGUUGGAAAUGCUAUCCGUGCAUGUGGUGUCGAGCCGGAUCCUAUUAGAAGCAUAGGUAUAGACUCCAACAUUCGUGUAACGAACGAUGGGAGCAAACGUAUCCGAGGAAAGGUAUCAAAAUGUUUAUUUGUAGUUAUAAAAUCAUCUUCUGAAAAGCGAAGUGUUUUCCAAUACUGGAUGGUAUAUCCUAAUACCUCAAACUAUGAUGCUCAUGUAAAGGUACCAUCAAUCCUUUGUGCAAAUUAUUGUAAACUUAAUU
rnacentral:lncRNA from 1 species